UGCAGCCCUUUGGAAACCAAAGUGGGCGAUAUGGAGGCGAUAUGGACCAAAGUGGGUGAUAUGGACCUCUAGUCCUCCUAGAUACCCAAAGAGACUUGGCAGCAUCAGAGAUCCUGUGGCAUGUGACCUUUCUCUCAGCCCCACAGCUGCCUUCAGGAGCAUCUCAACUGACAGGAGACAGGAUUUUGGAUGAUCGUCUCCCAUGCUCAGAUGUUCGGCCUCAGGCCUCAGCGUUUGACAGAAAUCAGUGAUUUUUCAGAGCACUGGAAGGUGCCCACAACUGACACUAGUGUAUUUUUUGUCACUUCAAAACACCCAUGGACAGUCCUCUGCUUUUCCAUACAAGAACAGAAGAAGAGGAAGCAAUGUGACCACUGAGGCAGAGACAGCAGCGAUACACCCGUAAGCCAAGGAAUGGCAGCGGCCAUCUCGGAGAAGACAACCGAUUCUUCCUUAGAGCCUAAGGAGAGAAAGUAGGCCUGCCAAAAACCCUGAUUUCAGUCCGGAGAUACUGAUUUGGACUUCUGACCUUGAAAACUAUGAGAAUAAAUUCUUCUUAUGAGGCACCAAGGUUGGCUAGUUUGUUUCCUUGGUCAUUGCAAUAUAAUACACUUUGCUAAUAAAUUCUCCUAAAUGUUCCUGAUUAUCCUAUUGAGGUAUUAUCCUGUUAAUAUUCAGUAUAGAGCUCUUACCAUGAUGGUUUGUAGAAAAACAAAGUCCCUGAUAUUACAUACAAAAUUGUGGGCAUACCUAGAAAAAUCUUUUGCUAAAAAGAGGCUCUCUAAUUUUCAUCAGACUCUCAGAACAAUAAGUGUCUCAAUAGGUUAAAAAUCAAAUUACUGAGCCAAACGAUAGCAGUUAGCCACUGUACCACUGAAAAAGAACCAGAUACCUUGAUU